GAUGAACGCUGGCGGCGUGCCUAAUACAUGCAAGUCGAGCGAACAGACGAGGAGCUUGCUCCUCUGACGUUAGCGGCGGGCGGGUGAGUAACACGUGGAUAACCUACCUAUAAGACUGGGAUAACUUCGGGAAACCGGAGCUAAUACCGGAUAAUAUAUUGAACCGCAUGGUUCAAUAGUGAAAGACGGUUUUGCUGUCACUUAUAGAUGGAUCCGCGCCGCAUUAGCUAGUUGGUAAGGUAACGGCUUACCAAGGCAACGAUGCGUAGCCGACCUGAGAGGGUGAUCGGCCACACUGGAACUGAGACACGGUCCAGACUCCUACGGGAGGCAGCAGUAGGGAAUCUUCCGCAAUGGGCGAAAGCCUGACGGAGCAACGCCGCGUGAGUGAUGAAGGUCUUCGGAUCGUAAAACCCUGUUAUUAGGGAAGAACAAAUGUGUAAGUAACUAUGCACGUCUUGACGGUACCUAAUCAGAAAGCCACGGCUAACUACGUG
rnacentral:rRNA from 1 species